UUUCCGUAGGUGAACCUGCGGAAGGAUCAUUAACAAAUCCGUGCGUGGGGUGCUUGCACCCACACAGGCUCCGCGGUCGCAAGACUGCGUGUGCGCAUAUUUUAGCGUUUGUCCGAAUCUUGCAGAACAGAAACAAACUUUUAACAAUGGAUCUCUAGGCUCUU
rnacentral:misc_RNA from 1 species